rnacentral:rRNA from 1 species
AGAGUUUGAUCAUGGCUCAGGACGAACGCUGGCGGCGUGCUUAACACAUGCAAGUGGAGCGACGGACCGGGGCUUGCCCCGGGGCAGAGCCGCGAACGGGUGAGUAACACGUGGGUAACCCACCCCGAUGAUUGGGACAACCCGGGGAAACUCGGGCUAAUACCAAAUGUGCUCGGCGACCAUGAGGUCUCCAAGUAAAGAUAGCUUCGGCCUUCGCAUCGGGACGGGCCCGCGGCCCAUUAGCUUGUUGGUGAGGUAACAGCUCACCAAGGCUGCGAUGGGUAGCUGGUCUGAGAGGACGAUCAGCCACACUGGGACUGAGACACGGCCCAGACUCCUACGGGAGGCAGCAGUGGGGAAUCUUGCGCAAUGCGCGAAAGCGUGACGCAGCAACGCCGCGUGGAGGAAGACGGUCUUCGGAUUGUAAACUCCUUUCAGUUGGGACGAAGCUCAACGGGUUAAUAGCUCGAUGGAGUGACGGUACCUUCAGAAGAAGCCCCGGCUAACUACGUGCCAGCAGCCGCGGUAAUACGUAGGGGGCUAGCGUUGUCCGGAAUCAUUGGGCGUAAAGAGCGUGUAGGCGGUCCGGUAAGUCCGCUGUGAAAGUCGGGGGCUCAACCCUCGAAUGCCGGCGGAUACUGUCGGGCUAGAGUGCGGAAGAGGCGAGUGGAAUUCCUGGUGUAGCGGUGAAAUGCGCAGAUAUCAGGAGGAACACCUAUUGCGAACGCCGCUCGCUGGGACGUAACUGACGCUGAGACGCGAAAGCGUGGGAGCAACACGAUUAGAUACCUUGAGAGUCCUCGCUGUAAGCGGUGGGGCACUAGUUGUCGGGGGGUGUCGAUUCCUCCGUGACGAGGCAA